rnacentral:rRNA from 1 species
AUUGAACGCUGGCGGCAGGCCUAACACAUGCAAGUCGAGCGAGCGGCGGACGGGUGAGUAAUGUAUGGGGAUCUGCCCGAUAGAGGGGGAUAACUACUGGAAAGGUGGCUAAUACCGCAUACUAUCGGAUGAACCCAUAUGGGAUUAGCUAGUAGGUGGGGUAACGGCUCACCAAGGCGACGAUCCGUAGCUGGUUUGAGAGGACGACCAGCCACACUGGGACUGAGACACGGCCCAGACUCCUACGGGAGGCAGCAGUGGGGAAUUUUGGACAAUGGGGGAAACCCUGAUCCAGCCAUCCCGCGUGUGCGAUGAAGGCCUUCGGGUUGUAAAGCACUUUUGGCAGGAAAGCGGUACCUGCAGAAUAAGCACCGGCUAACUACGUGCCAGCAGCCGCGGUAAUAC